rnacentral:rRNA from 1 species
GAUGAACGCUGGCGGCGUGCCUAAUACAUGCAAGUCGAGCGAACAGAUGAGGAGCUUGCUCCUCUGACGUUAGCGGCGGACGGGUGAGUAACACGUGGAUAACCUACCUAUAAGACUGGGAUAACUUCGGGAAACCGGAGCUAAUACCGGAUAAUAUAUUGAACCGCAUGGUUCAAUAGUGAAAGACGGUUUUGCUGUCACUUAUAGAUGGAUCCGCGCCGCAUUAGCUAGUUGGUAAGGUAACGGCUUACCAAGGCAACGAUGCGUAGCCGACCUGAGAGGGUGAUCGGCCACACUGGAACUGAGACACGGUCCCGACUCCUACGGGAGGCAGCAGUAGGGAAUCUUCCGCAAAGGGCGAGAGCCUGACGGAGCAACGCCGCGUGAGUGAUGAAGGUCUUCGGAUCGUAAAACUCUGUUAUUAGGGAAGAACAAAUGUGUAAGUAACUAUGCACGUCUUGACGGUACCUAAUCAGAAAGCCACGGCUAACUACGUG